rnacentral:lncRNA from 1 species
UCCUUGAUAUUUGCCUUCCUUUGUCACAAAAAAUUCUACCGAUCUUUCGCUAACACUGCUCUUGAAGUUGCUCGUAAUGAUUUGAAGGAAGUUCCCAGCAUGGAACAAGUUUUCAGAUCUUUUGUUCCACCAAGUUUGAGCUCCGAGAAGGUCGAUGAUGACCACUUUGAAGAUGCACGAUCUCAAGUUUCGAGAACAGGAUCAUUUGUUUGAUAGAAGUUUACAUAGUUCAUUCGCCGUGAAUCUUGUGUGAAAGUUAGAUGGAAAGUGUUGAUAGUUUGCAU